GUGAGGAAUAUUGGGCAAUGGAGGCAACUCUGACCCAGCCAUGCCGCGUGAGUGAAGAAGGUUUUCGGAUUGUAAAGCUCUUUCGGGUGUGACGAUGAUGACGGUAGCACCUAAAGAAGCCCCGGCUAACUUCGUGCCAGCAGCCGCGGUAAUACGAAGGGGGCAAGCGUUGUUCGGAAUUACUGGGCGUAAAGGGAGUGUAGGCGGUUAUGUAAGAUAGUGGUGAAAUCCCAGAGCUUAACUUUGGAAUUGCCAUUAUGACUAUGUGGCUAGAAUUACAGAGAGGAUAGUGGAAUACCCAGUGUAGAGGUGAAAUUCGUAGAUAUUGGGUAGAACACCAGUGGCGAAGGCGACUAUCUGGCUGUAUAUUGACGCUGAGGCUCGAAAGCAUGGGGAUCAAACAGGAUUAGAAACCCCUGUAGUCC
rnacentral:rRNA from 1 species